rnacentral:rRNA from 1 species
GACGAACGCUGGCGGCGUGCUUAACACAUGCAAGUCAGGGGGCGGGGUAACCCGUCACCGGCGAACGGGUGCGGAACACGUGAGCGACCUGCCCUGGUGUGGGGGAUAGCCGGCCCAACGGCCGGGUAAUACCGCAUACGGCGCCCGCUUGGAAGCGGGAGGCGAAACUCGCAAGAGGCGCUAGGAGGGGCUCGCGGCCUAUCAGCUAGUUUGUGCGGUAACGGCGCACCAAGGCGAUGACGGGUAGCUGGGCUGAGCGGAUGGCCAGCCACAUUGGGACUGAGAGACGGCCCAGACUCCUACGGGCGGCAGCAGUGGGGAAUAUUGCGCGAUGGGCGAAAGCCUGACGCAGCGACGCCGCGUGGAGGAUGAGGCCCUUAGGAGUGUAAACUCCUGUUGCCCGGGACGAAUGACCAGCAUCGGCGGGGUUGACGGUACCGGGUGAGGAAGCACCGGCUAACUCUGUG